CGCCCAGACUCCUACGGGAGGCAGCAGUGGGGAAUAUUGCACAAUGGGGGAAACCCUGAUGCAGCGACGCCGCGUGAGCGAUGAAGUAUUUCGGUAUGUAAAACUCUAUCAGCAGGGAAGAAGAUGACGGUACCUGACUAAGAAGCCCUGGCUAACUACGUGCCAGCAGCCGCGGCAAUACGUAGGGGGCAAGCGUUAUCCGGAUUUACUGGGUGUAAAGGGAGCGUAGACGGCGAUGCAAGCCAGAUGUGAAAGCCCGGGGCUCAACCCCGGGACUGCAUUUGGAACUGUGUGGCUGGAGUGUCGGAGAGGCAGGCGGAAUUCCUAGUGUAGCGGGGAAAUGCGUAGAUAUUAGGAGGAACACCAGUGGCGAAGGCGGCCUGCUGGACGGUGUACUGACGCUGAGGCUCGAAAGCGUGGGGAGCAAACAGGAUUAGAUACCCUGGUAC
rnacentral:rRNA from 1 species